rnacentral:rRNA from 1 species
GUCCACGCCGUAAACGAUGAAUACUAGGUGUGGGGGACUGACCCCUUCCGUGCCGCAGUUAACACAAUAAGUAUUCCACCUGGGGAGUACGACCGCAAGGUUGAAACUCAAAGGAAUUGACGGGGCCCGCACAAGCAGUGGAUUAUGUGGUUUAAUUCGAAGCAACGCGAAGAACCUUACCAGGGCUUGACAUCCUACUAACGAGAUAGAGAUAUGUUAGGUGCCCUUCGGGGGAAAGUAGAGACAGGUGGUGCAUGGUUGUCGU